CUUUGGCAUUAUAAUUGUUUAAUCCGCACAAAUGAUCUAAAUGGCAGGCUACUUUGACACUGACAAAUUUAGUAUCUGAGAUUUUUUAAAAACGACCUUGUCUUGAAUCCAUCAAUAGCCUAUAGGCCUAGGUUUGUGGAGAAACAUAUAGUAGGCUACAAUAUGAGGAGGAAAUUAGUCCUAAAAACGCUUUCCAAAAAAAAGAAGCUAUUGGUCCUCUGUAGCUAAAUUAUAGGGCUUCUCGUGACGUAUUAGGCUAUUCUGAAUGAUUUAAUUUAUUUCUGAACAGACAGCAGUAAUUCCGUAACUUUAGAAAAUUCCUCCAGAACCCUUCAUGCAGCUAUGAUUCUAUAAGGAAACAAAUGAUGAAGUGCAACUCUGGAGAGAUGAGGGGGCAGGAUAAUUGACGAAGAGGCAACUCGAAUGAACUUUGAUCGCUUUUAUUAUAAUUGUUACAUAGCAAAAAGUGAAAAUUAUUUUUCAUGGCACGAGAGGUACCGGAUUCGUCCAAAUAGGUUCCGGAACAAAACAGUCCAGAACGGAAAGGUGCCGGAUCCUGUUCUGGCAUGAUCCUGCUCAAAUUAAGCACUGAUUUGAAGUACCUAGGCCUCUACCUGCUGAGUAUAAAGAUUAUUCAACUAGAUUCAGUGAGCUUGUCAUUCACAGUACUGAUGAAAAAUCAAGUAUAUUUGAUCUAAAUGUGGAUAUACGAGGACAUCUAGUGGUCACCGGAUUUAAAAAAAUUCAUGCAAGCUAUCUUUGCACUAGCAUGCGAUGCCAUAUAUUUGACGCAGGUAUUUAUUAUUCAACAUGUAUUGUCAUUGACUGGAACAAAAUAUAAUUGUAUGAGCUAUGCCUCUGUGUCUCAGCGUUGUUGCACCCCUCUACUAUCUGGCUUGGUGGGGCGAUCUCGUUCUGCAUGCCUGCUUCACUUAUAUUCAAUGUGUCGUCAUGCAUUUGUGCAUGCACGCUGUUAACGGUCAUAUCCGUCUUGCUAAUUUAGCUAGCUCAUCAACCAGUAUUUUAUUCGCUUUUUCUGCACGAUAGCACUUAUUAAAGCCUUGAAACUCAUGGGGACCUCACUGUUACCACGGGUCAUCGAGCUAGCCCUUAUUUGGCAGCAGGGUUGCAUCGGUUUCCACUGGAUGUGACAGCUUGUUAGGCUGGCUAGCUAGGUAGCUAAUUCCCUAAUGCGAACUGUUUAUCACGUGGCAGCCUAUGCUGACUAGCGUCGCUAGCAACUAGCUAACAUGGAUAAAGUCUAGUCGUGGGUCCACAAAAUCAAACAAAUGGUACUGACCUGAUGACAAAAUCAUAUUUCGAAAUUGUAGAUAUUUAUGUUUGUGUUGUUGCUUAAUGAAAUUGCGAAUAUCAUAAUUUUUGUCAUUUAACUACCGGUAUGUAUCUAAUCCGGUUUCGGCAUGAGAAAAGUAUUAAUCGCAAAUUCCAGCACUAACGGAUACCGGGAAAUAGAAAUAAGAGAACCGGUCACGAAUGCGGAGCCACGCCCUAAAAUAACAUGUGACCACAAGGCGUUUGUGACACAUUCAUGCGUUCCAACUUUGUCAUAAUUGUCUGUAGGUUCUAAAUUGCUUAUGAGCUUGGCUUCCCUUCAGAAAGUAGCUGAUUCUUGUACUCUACAGCUGUAUUUUCCUUCAGUUACUAAUAAUACGAGCAACAAAACAGAUUUCAUUUCUUAAAAUGAUAUUGCCAGAUGGAAGAAAAUAAUAAGGUAGGCCUAAACUGUAAUAAGAUAUACCUUAAAGACUGCUUGUGUUUAAUCCUGAAUCCAGUUGCCCCUCUUGUACUGGGAUAAAACAAUAGGCAAGCCAUGAACCUUAUGGAGGAGUGCAUGUGUUUUGUAGACACACCUGGGUUCUAGACUGGCUGAGGUAAACAUUUUAGGAAAGCCUGGGUUUUUAAAUCCCGGUGAAAGCAGAUAUGUCAAAGUUUGUCAAUGUCAUGUUGCCCUUCCAUUUAGAUGAAACUAGCGAAAAGGAUCAUUUUGCUUCUCUUAAUCCACAUUUUCUAGCAAAAAAACAUGUUCAUGCUUUAGGGCUGGUGGGCUGCAUAUAUAUUGGUAAAAUAUAAAGUGUGUGUGUGGGGGGGGGGGGUAGUGGAUAUAAUGGGGUAUAGGCUUAACUGUUGUUUUGAGGGUGAAAUUUCAACCACAGGAUGAUGUCAUCAUUGUAAACUAAAUUCAGCAUAGCCAAACCUUGUUAUAAAAUAGGUUGAAUUUGUACCUUUGAAACCAUGUCAGAUUUUCAACAUUAUAUACACUUUCAGAAAAAAACAAUAGGCAGCACCUCAGCCCGGGAUCGAACCCCAUCCAGGGUUUUAACUACACCCAGCCCUGCUUAGCUUUAAUAUGUCACUGACUACUACCAAUAUGCUAUUGUGAGAAUUAUUAUUGAGAGAUCUCUUAAUAACAAAAUAUAUUCAGUGUUAAUAUCGAAGUCAUUCUAAGGGGUAGGUUUGACAAAGCAAAUGAGUGAGUGAGUCUUUGACAUGAAGACAGUGGUUAGAUUCUGCCAUUGGGACUGCUCUGAUGUUUCCAUUCUCUCCUGGUUAUGACCAUAGAGCCUUGUCCCAGUCUCUAGACCUGCCUGUCUGUGUGAUGGAUGACCACCUGACCUCUGAAGCUGUCAAUGAGAUGGAGCAGAGCAAUUCUACCAGGAGCAGAGCAACCUCAGUGAUGGAAACCACAGAAGAGGGGAAGCUCAACAAUGUGGAACAUCUGACACUUAUGGACUUCCUUCAAAACCUAACUGAGAAGCAAUGGAGGGGGAUUCGUGAGGGCAUGUUUGACCCGCUGACAAAACAACAGCUUGCUGGCUUGUGUCUGAGGAUUGUCCAGUUUUUAUCGGACAAGCUGAUGCAGAUCAUCAUCCCAGGUCUUUACGAACUACUGGGCAUCCAAGAUGCUGCCUCCUCUCCAUUGUCACAGAGAUCUCUCACAGCGUCACUCACCAGUUUGUUAGACGAUAACACUAACACCAAGUCCCGCGUGAGAUUUACUGAGGCUGGUGUACCUAAGAGGCCAGGCAGUCGAAAGUCUUACAAUAGCUUUCGCAUCCCGACUCCCUACCCUUCCUCCAACUGUAUGGAUCAGGAAGAGGAAGAAGAGCAGGAAUCACAACAACUUAAGUUCAAGGAGAUUUACCUGACUAAGGGCAGUGGAACCUACCUGCCCAAGGGGGCCACAAGGUAUGUUCUUAAAGGGAAAUUUAACAACUUCAUA
ensembl:lncRNA